UGGUUCUGGCAUCGAUGAAGAACGCAGCGAAAUGCGAUAAGUAAUGCGAAUUGCAGAAUUCUGUGAGUCAUCGAAUCUUUGAACGCACAUUGCGCCCGCUAGCACUCUAGCGGGCAUGCCUGUCCGAGCGUCAUUUCAACCCUCAAGCGCUGUUCCGCUUGGCGUUGGGGCUAUUACAAUAGGCAUUUACUGUCUUGUAAGCCCUGAAAUUCAGCGGCGAGCCCGCCGACACACCGAGCGUAGUAAAUCUACUUCCGCUUAGGGGGUGCGGCGAAGUUCAGUCUGCCAACUAUAUUUUUCUAAAGUUGACCUCGGAUCAGGUAGGAAUACCCGCUGA
rnacentral:misc_RNA from 1 species